rnacentral:rRNA from 1 species
UGGGGAAUAUUGCACAAUGGGCGCAAGCCUGAUGCAGCAACGCCGCGUGAACGAUGAAGGUCUUCGGAUCGUAAAGUUCUGUUGCAGGGGAAGAUAAUGACGGUACCCUGUGAGGAAGCCCCGGCCAACUACGUGCCAGCAGCCGCGGUAAUACGUAGGGGGCUAGCGUUAUCCGGAUUUACUGGGCGUAAAGGGUGCGUAGGUGGUCUUUCAAGUCGGUGGUUAAAGGCUACGGCUCAACCGUAGUUAGCCUCCGAAACUGGAAGACUUGAGUGCAGGAGAGGAAAGUGGAAUUCCCAGUGUAGCGGUGAAAUGCGUAGAUAUUGGGAGGAACACCAGUAGCGAAGGCGGCUUUCUGGACUGCAACUGACACUGAGGCACGAAAGCGUGGGUAGCAAACAGG